UAUAAUAUUUAUGCAAGCAUGGUACAUUUAUAAUUUUAUGGUGUAUUGUGCACUGAAUUCACAACAGAUCAAAAAAAGAGGUGACGUCGGCCUUUCAGUAAUAUGUUUUUCCAAUUUGGAGAUUUCUUACAGUUAUUCCAAGAAUUCAAGAAUACUGAUCAUGAAGAAUUUUAUCAUUAUACAAGAAUGAUGUCUGAUCAGUUUGAUUGGCUUUUAGAAAAGACAAAACCCUAUCUGUCUAAAACUGCAUAGCAGGAGACAUCCAUUUCCAUCAGAAUUGAGACUGGCUAUCAUUCUGGGAUACCUUGUUCAAGCUGAUAGUAUAUGGUCAAAGAAGUGGUCUUUUUGUAUUGGUCACUCAAUAGUAAUAAGAUUAUCUCUGAGACACGUGAUGCAAUUAUAAAAGCUUUACAGCCAAUAUAUUUACUACCUAUGACAUGGAAAACAUGUAAGAAGGCUCCAAAAAACUCUCAAGCUCAAGCUCUCUGUUCUUCAAUGCAAGAAAUUUUUUUCAAUGUUCUCACGGCAAUCUGUGAUAUAGAUUAUGUUUUCAAAAGGAUGGACAUUGGUGAUUAUGGUACGUAUUAGUUCAGCAUAAAUAGUUAAUAUUUUUAGUAACCGAACUGGUUUUAUAGAUAACUAAUAACUAAUGAAAAACUAUUAACAAAGAAAGGACCAAUGAGAGCAAAGUCGCAGUUAAUAAGUGUAUUCAUAUUUUCUCAAUACAUUCUUAUAUAAAUACAUUAUAUCGAUUAUAUCAAGAUCUUGAUGAGAACACAGGACUAACGAACACGUUUACAAAAUACAAAUAAUUCUUGAGAUUAAUCUAUGUAUAAUAUUACAUUUGUAAAGAAACAUUCCUGGUUGAACUGUCACAAAACUAUCAAGACAGAAAAUUAUCUACCUUAAAAUUUAAAAUCACCAUAUUUGCUAGGAAUGUACUUCUAUCAUCCUUCUUAUCUUUAAUUGUUUAAAAUAGUUGAAAAUGGCUUAAAAUAAGCCAAAACGUUUGUCCGGAGAGUCAAUGUAAUAUGUAUAAGAAUGUAUUGACUUAUUGAGUAAAUAUAAAUGUAUAUGCUUAUCACAACUGAAGUGUUACUCUCAUUAGCCUUUCUUUAUUAAUAGUUUUGUUUUUAUAAAUAUGUUAGGCCUCUCACCUGCAAAUAAUGGCUGUGUUCAGCACAAAACUGUUGCAAAACUCUUUUAACAAUUACGACUAAAAUUUUUGUACAUGUGAUGGCCUUUACUUUGCAAACACAAUAAAGGAU